rnacentral:rRNA from 1 species
CUACGCCUGCAUGAAGUCGGAAUUGCUAGUAAUCGCAGAUCAGCAUGCUGUGGUGAAUACGUUCCCGGGCCUUGUACACACCGCCCGUCACACCAUGGGAGUCGGUAACACCCAAAGUUGGUAGUCCAACCGCAAGGAGGACGCCGCCUAAGGUGGGAUUGAUGACUGGGGUGAAGUCGUAACAAGGUACC